GUCUAUGGCCAUGCCACCCGGAACAAGCCCGAUCCCGUCUGAUCUCGGAAGCUAAGCAGGGUCGGGCCUGGUUAGUACUUGGAUGGGAGACCACCUAGGAAGACCAGGUGCUGUAGGAG
rnacentral:rRNA from 1 species